UGGGGAAUUUUGGACAAUGGGCGAAAGCCUGAUCCAGCAAUGCCGCGUGUGUGAAGAAGGCCUUCGGGUUGUAAAGCACUUUUGUCCGGAAAGAAAUCCUUGGCUCUAAUACAGUCGGGGGAUGACGGUACCGGAAGAAUAAGCACCGGCUAACUACGUGCCAGCAGCCGCGGUAAUACGUAGGGUGCAAGCGUUAAUCGGAAUUACUGGGCGUAAAGCGUGCGCAGGCGGUUUGCUAAGACCGAUGUGAAAUCCCCGGGCUCAACCUGGGAACUGCAUUGGUGACUGGCAGGCUAGAGUAUGGCAGAGGGGGGUAGAAUUCCACGUGUAGCAGUGAAAUGCGUAGAGAUGUGGAGGAAUACCGAUGGCGAAGGCAGCCCCCUGGGCCAAUACUGACGCUCAUGCACGAAAGCGUGGGGAGCAAACAGGAUUAGAUACCCUGGUAGUCCACGCCCUAAANGAUGUCAACUAGUUGUUGGGGAUUCAUUUCCUUAGUAACGUAGCUAACGCGUGAAGUUGACCGCCUGGGGAGUACGGUCGCAAGAUUAAAACUUAAAGGAAUUGACGGGGUCAUAGCUGUUUCCU
rnacentral:rRNA from 1 species